rnacentral:rRNA from 1 species
AAACGGCUACCACAUCCAAGGAAGGCAGCAGGCACGCAAAUUACCCACUCCCGGAACGGGGAGUAGUGACAAAAAAUAACGAUACGGGACUCAUCCGAGGCCCCGUAAUCGGAAUGAGAACACACUAAAUCCUUUAACGAGGAUCUAUCAGAGGGAAAGUCUGGUGCCAGCAGCCGCGGUAACUCCAGCUCUGAUAGCGUAUAUUAAAGUUGUUGNNNNNNNNNNNNNNNNNNNCCACGUUUCACGCUGUCGGUUCACCGCCUGCCGGUGCAACUGGCAUGUCGUGGCAUGUCCUGCCGGUGGCGGAAGGGCCCCACGGCCUCGGCCCUAUGCUUAAUUGUGUAGGUGCUGGGUCGCUGUGGGUCUGGUACGCCGAUCUAAUCCUACCGCGGUGCUCUUUGCCGAGUGUCGAGGUAGGCCGGCAAUUUUUACUUUGAACAAAUCAGAGUGCUUAAAGCAGGCUCUUAAACUAGCCUGUAUAUUAGUGCUUGGAAUAAUGGAACAGGACCUUGGCUCUAUUUUGUUGGUUUCCGGAGUCCAAGGUAAUGAUCAAUAAGGACAGGCGGGGGCAUUCUUGGCAAAUGCUUUCGCNNNNNNNNNNNNNNNNNNNNNNNNNNNNNNNUAAAGCGAAAGCAUUUGCCAAGUAUGUCUUAAUUGAUCAAGAACGAAAGUUAGAGGUUCGAAGGCGAUCAGAUACCGCCCUAGUUCUAACCAUAAACGAUGCCAGCCAGCGAUCCGCCGAUGUUCCUCCGAUGACUCGGCGGGGAGCUACCCCCGGGAAACCAAAGCUUUUGGGUUCCGGGGGAAGUAUGGUUGCAAAGCUGAAACUUAAAGGAAUUGACGGAAGGGCACCACCAAAAGUGGAGCAUGCGGCUUAAUUUGACUCAACACGGGAAACCUCACCAGGCCCAGACAUUGGAAGGAUUGACAGAUUGAUAGCUCUUUCUCGAUUCAGUGGAUAGUGGUGCAUGGCCGUUCUUAGUUGGUGGAUUGAUUUGUCUGGUUAAUUC